rnacentral:rRNA from 1 species
AAUUUUGGACAAUGGGGGCAACCCUGAUCCAGCCAUCCCGCGUGUGCGAUGAAGGCCUUCGGGUUGUAAAGCUCUUUUACCCGGGAUGAUAAUGACAGUACCGGGAGAAUAAGCUCCGGCUAACUCCGUGCCAGCAGCCGCGGUAAUACGGAGGGAGCUAGCGUUGUUCGGAAUUACUGGGCGUAAAGCGCACGUAGGCGGCUUUGUAAGUUAGGGGUGAAAGCCCGGAGCUCAACUCCGGAAUUGCCUUUAAGACUGCAUCGCUUGAAUCCGGGAGAGGUGAGUGGAAUUCCGAGUGUAGAGGUGAAAUUCGUAGAUAUUCGGAAGAACACCAGUGGCGAAGGCGGCUCACUGGACCGGUAUUGACGCUGAGGUGCGAAAGCGUGGGGAGCAAACAGG